GGCCUCACCAACCGGAAGGAAUCCUUUCCGGUCAAUGAGGUUGUUAUACCUCAUUGAUUGGAAGGAUUUCCUUCAGAUCGAUGAGGUACAACGACCCCAUCGACCGGAAGGAAUCCCUUCCGGUUGAUGAGGUU
rnacentral:miRNA from 1 species